rnacentral:rRNA from 1 species
UUUAAGUGUUAAUUAAAUUUACCUGGGUAAUAUUAGUUAAGGUCUUUAAACCCAAAGAAUUUGGCGGUAUCUCAUUCCAUUCAGAGGAACCUACCCCGUAAUUGAUAAUACACGAUUAACUUAACUUAAUUUAUUUGCUUGUAUAUCUCCGUUAUCAGAAAAUCUUUUUAGAGUUAUAAUUUUCUUAAUUUAUAAUUAUAAAAUAUUUCAGGUCAAGGUGCAGUUUAUAAUUAAGAGGAGGUGGGUUACAAUAAAUUUUAGUUUACAAUGAAUUUUAUAUUGAAAUAUUAUAAAUGAAGGUGGAUUUGAUAGUAAUUUAAUUUAUUUAAUUUAUUUGAUAUUGGCUCUGAGAUGUGC